CCGCAGCGAUUCUGACGUGCAAAUCGAUCGUCAAACUUGGGUAUAGGGGCGAAAGACUAAUCGAACCAUCUAGUAGCUGGUUCCCUCCGAAGUUUCCCUCAGGAUAGCUGGCACUCAUGACUCAAAGCAGUUUUAUCCGGUAAAGCGAAUGAUUAGAGGCCUUGGGGACGAAACGACCUCAACCUAUUCUCAAACUUUAAAUGGGUAAGAAGUCUGACUCGCUCGAUUGGAGCCAGGC
rnacentral:rRNA from 1 species